CCAGACCUUCCCGUUGCCGACCCUGCCUGUCUGGACUUCCCUGCCUUGCCUCUGUCCCCGGUCAACAACUCAGCCUUCUGUCCCCGACCACGAGUGUAGCCUCCGCUUCCUCUGGUUUCCGUCUGCCUGAUCCCCUGCCUGUUUCCCUGAUGGCUUGGCGUUUCCUUAUAGGAAUUCACGACGGUGCUUCCAGGUGUCAGGAAGGACCGGCUGGCUGCAGGACCUUCCCCCUCUGCUGUAAUGGCCCUGACCUCCAGCUUGUACAGACUAGCAGGGUGCAAGCCUGACACCACCACAAUAUUACCAUCCUGAAGGAGAGAAGGAGGAAGCAGAAGACACGUUUUAAAUAAGGAAGGACCAGGAAACUCUCCCUGGAUCUGCAACAAUCAGAUGCCUCCUCCGAACUGUUGCUGCCAGCCAGAGCAUCGCCACAGUCAUCGUCUGCCUUUCCACCAUCCUUACAAGACUUUUUCCCAUCUUUCUCUUGCACAUACUUCAGGGACUUGGGACUUGGAUGAAGCAGAAGGAUUUCCUACUGCAGUCCAGCUCCAGCUGACCUUGUAGUGGUGGACGGGAACAUCCAGG